rnacentral:lncRNA from 1 species
AUGGCCUCAAGAACUUCCACCCUAAAGUUCUUCUCACUACUAAUUUCUUCAUUUGCCUUUUUUCAAAUGGCAAUGGCAGGAGACCCGGACAUUCUUACUGACUUCGUAGUUCCUCAAAAUGGAACAGUAGAUGGAAACUUCUUCACAUACACUGGCUUUCGUGUUCUUGUUGGAGGUGCUCCUCCCACAGCCUUCAAGGUAUUGAAGGCAAGCUUGGCAGAGUUCCCUGCUCUUAAUGGGCAGAGGGUUUCCUACGCUGUCCUUCAAUUCCCUUCUGGCACAACCAACCCCCCACACACUCAUCCGCGCUCGGCUGAGCUGCUUUUCCUUAUUCAGGGUUCCCUUCAAGUGGGCUUUGUUGACACCAAAAACAACCUCUUUACGCAGACGCUUCAGGUGGGUGAUCUGUUUGUGUUUCCCAAGGGACUUGUGCACUUUCAGUACAAUGCUGAUUCACAAAAGCCAGCUCUAGCAAUUUCUGCCUUUGGAAGUGCAAAUGCUGGACUUGUAUCCAUUCCCAGCACCUUGUUCACCACCGGUAUUGACGACAAUGUCUUGGCCAUAUCCUUCAAGACUGAUGUAGCCACCAUCCAAAAGCUCAAGGCUGGUCUUGCUCCCAAGCCAUGA